GGCCCCUCUCCCGAGCCCGCCGCGGCAGUUGGCGCGCUACACGCCGGAGCCUUCACCUUCUUCCUUUGCCAUCGUCUCCGCGGAGACCCGAGUGGCCCUACGGCUCCCGAGCAGCCCGGAGUCUCCCAAACCUCCGAGUAUCCAAACCCCGCGGCCGCCCCGGCCAGCUCCCGGCUGCCGCGCCCCCACUUCCUGACCCGCCCCCCUCUGGUGUCUCCGCCAACUGGGUCCCUCCAAGGCGCUCCGGGAACCAGAGUGCAGGGAGCGGGGCCCGGCCGGAGCGUUUCGCUAGAGCGCCUCAGCCAUGCCCACGAUGGCCACGGGAUGGCAAUGCUCCUGGGAGGAGCGAGUCCCCGCCGCCGCCCUCGCUCCUUGCUGAGCCUCACAGGAAAGCAGGAGCCAGAGCAAGCUUUUCGUGACGCUGGGAUCCGUCUCAGAAAGUCAUAGACUGUAGGCCAGAUCCAGUCCCUAUGUCCGGCCGAUUUUUCAAACAGAAAACGGAGUUUCAACUGCAGAGCAACGAGUCCUGGACUUGUUACGAUGAUUUCAAAGCCAGGCAAGACGUUCUAGACACAUCAGCUCCUGGUAGCAUCCCCAAUCUACUUCAAAGAUGAUGAUGAGCAAAGAAGGACCGCUACAUGGAGUUCGCUUCAGUUGUGGCAAACAUGGCCACUGGGCAAAAAACCUGCCCCUUACCUCAAUGGCUGACAGCAGGCUCUCCAAACUGUGGAAAAGCAGGACACUGGGAAGUUGAUUGAUCCACUUUGCUGAGACAAGCAGCUGAAUAAUCACCUGGAAGAAAGAGAACUGACCCCUGAGGACUGAGCACCACUCUUCAGCUACUGACCCCUGAGGACUGAGCACCACUCUUCAGCUACUGACCCCCGAGGACUGAGCACCACUCUUCAGCUACUGACCCCCGAGGACUGAGCACCACUCUUCAGCUACUGACCCCCGAGGACUGAGCACCACUCUUCAGCUACUGACCCCCGAGGACUGAGCACCACUCUUCAGCUACUGACCCCCGAGGACUGAGCACCACUCUUCAGCUACUGACCCCCGAGGACUGAGCACCACUCUUCAGCUACUGACCCCCGAGGACUGAGCACCACUCUUCGGAAGAACGUGUGAGCGAAGAAGGAAAAUGUGACUUCAAUACUGGACUUUUCUUCAGUCCAAUUUCCCAACUAAUGGAAAAUAAUUCUUGCAUGUUGAAAGUCCUUAAGACAAUAACGGCUAGGGUGGUGCCAGAGAUUCUAUCUAAUCAGACAGUUUUACCUACGAGCACAUCAUCCCUGAGUCACGGACAUGGAAUGGUCUCUGUAGACAGGGCUCGCCCACGCUGCGCUGCACAUCCUCGGAGGCAUCGCAGAACUUCGCUCUUCUGAAGACUCAAGCUAAUUUCAGCUCUAGGGGGUAGAAGGACCGCUUUUGCUCAUAGACCAGUAAGGGACUAAAAGUUACUUGUUUUUAGACUUUAUAGGUAGAAAAAACUUGACUUAAUCAAAUGACUUUACGAAGGAAUGGGGUUUGCUCAGAUGAACCAAACAGAAAUGGUAAUAUUCACUGUUACAGAUCUAUCACCAAGAAGACAGUGAUGGAUGGAUACAUGCAGUAGGCAAAACAAAACAAACAAGAUGAAAGCAAAGGCAGAAAACCACGUCACUUCAUGGAGGACAAGAACCCAUCCCAGUCCAAGAAUCAGAACAAGCCUGUUAGGUGGGGGUCUUAUUUUCAUCUCCAAGGUUAGGCAGGUUUUUCAUUUUUAUUUUUCCCUAGUGCAGUUAAAAGAGGCUUUAUGAUUUUUAAAUACUCAAUGGGACAGCCCAUGCUUAAAUGUUCCUAUUUAUUUACUCUUAAUUAUUUGAAGUAAUGGAGACUG
rnacentral:lncRNA from 1 species